rnacentral:rRNA from 1 species
UACAGAGGGGGCAAGCGUUGUUCGGAAUUACUGGGCGUAAAGGGCGCGUAGACGGCCUUCUAAGUCGAACGUGAAAUCCCCAGGCUCAACCUGGGAACUGCGUCUGAUACUGGAUGGCUUGAAUCCGGGAGAGGGAUGCAGAAUUCCAGGUGUAGCGGUGAAAUGCGUAGAUAUCUGGAGGAAUACCGGUGGCGAAGGCGGCAUCCUGGACCGGCAUUGACGCUGAGGAGCGAAAGCCAGGGGAGCAAACGGG